rnacentral:rRNA from 1 species
UACGUAGGUGGCAAGCGUUGUCCGGAUUUACUGGGCGUAAAGAGCGCGCAGGCGGUCGUUCAAGUCGCGUGUGAAAGCCCCCGGCUCAACUGGGGAGGGUCACGCGAUACUGAUCGACUCGAAGGCAGGAGAGGGAAGUGGAAUUCCCGGUGUAGUGGUGAAAUGCGUAGAUAUUCGCAAGAACACCAGUGGCGAAGGCGGCUCACUGGCCCGAUACUGACGCUGAGGUGCGAAAGCGUGGGGAGCAAACAGG